rnacentral:piRNA from 1 species
UUCGGCUUUCUGACGAGAACUCGA